rfam:Picea glauca, whole genome shotgun sequence.
GAAAUUGUCACUGCUUAUGGACCCAAACCUGGGUGAUCUAUCCAUGACUAGGAUGAAGCUUGGGUGAAACUAAGUGGAGGUCCGAACCGAUUGAUGUUGAAAAAUCAGCGGAUGAGUCAUGGUUAGAGGUGAAAUGCCACUCGAGCCCAGAGCUAGCUUGUUCUCCCCGAAAUGCAUUGAGGCGCAACAGUUGACUGGACCAUCUAGGGGUAAAGCACUGUUUCGGUACGGGCCACGAGAGUGGUACCAAAUUGAGGCAAACUCUGAAUACUAUAUUGCCCCAAUAAAAGGGGUAAAGGUUAGCCAGUGAGACGAUGGGGGAUAAGCUUCAUCGUCGAGAGGGAAACAACCCAGAUCAUCAGCUAAGGCCCCAAAAUGACCGCUCAGUGAUGAAGGAAGUACGAGUGCAAAGACAGCCAGGAGGUUUGCCUAGAAGCAGCCAACCUUGACAGAGUGUGUAAUAUCUCAUUGAUCGAGCGCUCUUGCGCUAAAGAUGAACAGGACUAAGCGAUCUACUGAAGAUGUGGGAUGUAAAAAUACAUCGGUAGGGGAGCGUUCCACCUCAGAGGGAAGCACCGGUACGAGCAGGUGUGGAUGAAGUGGACGCGAGAAUGUCAUCUUGAGUAACGCAAACAUUGGUGAGAAUCCAAUGCCCCGAAAACCUAAGGGUUCCUCCACAAGGUUCGUCCAUGGAGGGUGAGUCAGGGCCUAAGAUCAGGCCGAAAGGCAUAGUCAAUGGACAACAGCUUAAUAUUCCUGUACUAUCCCUUGUUGGUCCCGAGGGACGAAGGAGGGUAGGUUAGCCGAAAGAUGGUUAUCGGUUCAAGGACGCAAGGUGACCUUGCUUUUUUCAGGGUAAGAAGGGGUAGAGAAAAUGCCUCGAGCCAAUGUCCGAGUAACAAGCACUACAACGCUGAAGUAACCCAUGCCAUACUCCCAGGAAAAUCUUGAACGACCUUUAACAAAUGGGUACCUGUACCCGAAAUUGACACAGGUAGGUAGGUAGAGAAUACCUAGGGGCAUGAGACAACUCUCUCUAAGGAACUCGGCAAAAUAGCCCCGUAACUUGGGGAGAAGGGGUGCCUCCUCAGGAGGUUGCAGUGACCAGGCCCGGGCGACUGUUUACCAAAAACACAGGUCUCCGCAAAGUCGUAAGACCAUGUAUAGGGGAUGACACCUGCCCAGUGCCGGAAGGUUAAGGAAGUUGGUGACCUGAUGAUGGGGAAGCCAUCGACCAAAGCCCCGGUGAAUGGCGGCCAUAACUAUAGCGGUCCUAAGGUAGAAAAAUUCCUUGUUGGGUAGGUUCCAACCUGCACGAAAGGCGUAACGAUCUGGGCACUGUCUCGGAGAGAGACUCAGUGAAAUAGACAUGUCUGUGAAGAUGCGGACUACCUUCACCUGGACAGAAAGACCCUAUGAAGCUUUAUUGUUCCCUGGGAUUGUCUUUGGGUUCUUCUUGCGCAACAUAGGUGGAAGGCAAAGAAGGCUCCCUCUCAGGGGGGGCCUGAGCCACCAGUGAGAUACCACUCUGGAAGAGCUAUAAUUCUAACCUUGUGUCAGGAUCUACGGGCCAAGGGACAGUCUUAGGUAGACAGUUUCUAUGGGGAGUAGGCCUCUCAAAAGGUAAUGAAGGCAUGCAAAGGUUUCCUUGGGCUGGACGGAAAUCAACCCUCGAGUGCAAAGGAAGAAGGGAGCUUGUCUGCAAGACCCACCCGUCGAGCAGGGAUGAAAGUCAGCCAUAGUGAUUCGACGGUGCCAAGUGGAAGGGUCAUCGCUCAACGGAUAAAAGUUACUCUAGGGAUAAUAGGUUGAUCUUCCCCAAGAUUUCACAUCAACGGGAAGGUUUGGCACCUCGAUGUCGUCUCUUCACCACCUAGGGCGGUAGUAUGUUCCAAGGGUUGGGAUGUUCACCCAUUAAAGCGGUACGUGAGCUAGGUUCAGAACAUCAUGAGACAGUUCGUUCCAUAUCCAGUGCGGGCGUUAGAGCAUUGAGAGGACCUUUCCCUAGUACGAGAGGACCAGGAAGGACACACCUCUGGUGUACCAGUUAUCGUGCCCACGGUAGACGCUGGGUAGCCAAGUG